ACAAGUAUAUGCUGUCCUUCCGAGGCCUUCUGCAGCAGGGAAGAUUGGCCCUGCCCCAAUUUCAGAGGAUGAAUCCUGAUUGGUCUAAGAUCACCACACUAGUCCUGUUGCCUUCACAGUGACUAGUGAAGCAUGUGCUUGUGUGAUUUUAGAAGUCAGCUGGGAAGCAACUGGGAAGAAUUUCCUUACUCAAAAAGAAGCACAAGAGAGAGGCCAUCUAGUAUUUCUUAGAGGUUAUCUUAUCUGCAUGUAGCCUGCAAUUGCUAUAACUACCUUGCCACCUUGAAGUAAGCUAGCCUGAAGAUAGCCAAUAUACUGGAUAAAACUUUUGUUUAAAGAUUUAUCUGCUUAAUAUUAUCUCUUCUGAAAGGUAGCUGUACUCCAUAAAUCAGAUUGUGAAUCAGCUUCUUGUUUGAUAAGCGAAGAUAUCAAACAUCAAAUUGGUUGUUGCAAAUCAAAUGUUCACAUCAAUAUGUUUUUUGUUCCACAUCUAAUCAGGAGUGGUGGUAAUCUGUCUAGAAUAAUUUCCAAAGCUGUGUUUAGGUGUGGAUUUAUUUAAUGCAUUUGAGAGCACAAAACUUCUCAGGGUAGAUAUGUAGAACUAAUAACAUAAUUGGAAACUUAUUAAGGAGUGACGUUUUAUUUAGAUAUUCUUUAGUCUACAGAAAAUGAGUGAAUAGAACCACAUAUUACUAAUUUAAAACAAUUAUCCAGCUAAUUUGCUUUUUUGAAUAGUGUGAGUUUAAGUUUUGAUAUUUAUUAGUGUAAUAUCCCUAUGGAACCAUUUAAUCAUAGAAGACUAAUCUUUCCCUACAACAUUCUCUCCUAAAUAAGACUUUCCUGAGAAACAAACUAGAAUAUUUUUAUUCUUGAACCGAGGACUCACUUAUCUUAUCUAGGCUGACUUACUGGAUAAGGCCAUAGCAUCAGUCUAUGUGAAUCACCCAAUUUUCAUAUUAUCCAAAGAUACAUUCUUUUCAACAGUGCAGCCUCUUCAGCAAUCAGUUCCAAAAUAUGUAGGUCAAAGGGGGAACUGAGUGAGAGGAUGCAAUGGCUUAAUUCCAUGUGUAAUCACUCACAGAAAAGUCACACACACACACACACACACACACACAGACAAAAAUGUCCUCUGACAGUUACUGGCAUCAUGUUUAGAUAUGAGAUGGUGUGCUUAGAACACGGCUUCAGAAAUCAAUACAUCAACAAUUAGCUGGGCAUGGGUCAUUGUACCUUAAAAAGAAUAACAAUGGGGUGGCAUUGCCCGAGAAGACCAACUGUCUGGUUACCUGACAGGUGGGCAUUACCUUCAUGACAUCACAGAAGUGAAAGGAAUGAUCCCUGGCUCUAUAAUUUUUUUUCUGGAGACAGAGUCUCACUUUGUCACCCAGGCUGGAGUGCAGUGGCAUAAACAUGACUCACUGCAGACUUGACCUCCUGGACUCAAGUGAUCCUCCCACCUCAGCCCCCCAAGUAGCUGGGACUACAGGUAUGAGCCACCAUGCCUGGCUAAUUUUUGUAUUUUUUGUAGAGACAGGGUUUCACGUGGCUGGCCUGGAACUCCUGGGCUCAAGCAAGCCCCUUCCACCCACUAGUUUUCCAACGUGCUGGGAUUACAAGCAUGAGCCACUAUGCCAGCCUAGAUUUAAAAAUUUGAUCUCCACAGUGCAUCAGAGUUAUCAAGAAGACUACUUCAUGAUAAACACACAGGGGACUGAUAUGUAAAUUAGAAUGCCAUUUAUUCAUUUAAAUAGGAAAUAUGACUGUGACAAAAGAAUGAUCAUUUUGGCAUGUCCCGUGGUCUUAGUUCAUUUCUGCUGCUGCAACAAAAUACCUUAGACUGGGUAGUUUACAAACAGCAGAAAUUUAUUGGUCAUAGCUCUGGAGGCUAGGCAGACCAAGAUCAAGGCACCAGCAGAUUCAGCGUCUGCUUUAUAGAUGGAGCCUCCUUGCUAUGUCCUCACAUGGCAGAAGAGGGCACACAGGCUCCCUCAAGCCUCU
rnacentral:lncRNA from 10 species